CUAGACCAGGAAAGGCCAGCCAGUCCUCUCAGUGAAUCACCAUUCUCAUUGGUAUCCCACACAGGAUAGGAUGAGAUCUCUCAGAGGGUAAGAGAACACCUGGCUUUCUAUGGCCCAAACCCGCCACCACCGGAGGUGGUUGAUUGGAUUAUGGUGGCGACGGAGAAAGAGCGAGCUGAAGAACUUGUCUUAAGUCUAGCUGAAGACACUGGCAGUAUUCCUGAAUAUAUGGAUCAAGUUAGGGACCAUGCAGAAUCCUUGUCUGAGGAAGAGUUCCCGUGCAGAGGAUCAGAG